CGGGUAUAGCUCAAUGGUAGAGCAGCAGCCUUCCAAGCUGAAUACGAGGGUUCGAUUCC
rnacentral:tRNA from 1 species